UUCGAGCCGCCGCCCGCCGUCACCUGGAGAGGGGAUAAGCACCACAGCGCCCUCCUUAUAUCUCCCCUCGUCCUCAUCCUUCCGGUCUCUCUAUCUCUCCCGCAAAAUCCCCAGGGAGACCAAACCCUAGCCCCCACAGUCUCCGUCCAUCGCCGCCACUCCGAGCAUCCCCUCGUCCGGCCGAGCAUCCCUGGAGCUCCACCUAGCCUCCCUGAGCCCUCUGUACGAAGGAAUCGAGCUCCCUCGACGUGGUUCGUCGCCGACGAGCUCGCCCGCCCGACGUCGGGUCGCCGUCGAUUCGGUCGAUUCCGACCUCAACGACACCACCGAAGCGCUCACGAGCAAGUGCCCGAGACGAUGAAGAUUGACAACGACGCAACUCAAUAAUUGUCCAUCGACGAACAAGUCAAGCAUGGGAUCUCCGAAGAUCCACAUUGGUUUGUCAGGGACAAAGGCAAGCCCUAGCCUGGUUCAUAUUAUGAUUUUGAAAUGCUUUUACUUCUGGUUCCUACAUAUUGCAUACACUUUCCAAUAUGUUUUAUCGGCAGAUAUAGUUAUCCUAUGUGUGUUCAUUUAUCAUCCUUGUAGCCUAAAUACUCUGAUCCACUGCUCCCAGCAAGACUAGGUUUGAGCUAUGUGUGCAUCGCUACAGCCAUUAUAUCGAAUAUGCUUAGCCAUGCUUAGUUGACGAAUUUUGAUCCAUCCGGUUGAUGAAUCAGAGCUGCGAAUGAACCUAGUAAGAUAGGAUGACGUGGUAAGAUCGGUGAUGAUAAUAAACUAGUUAAAGGCUUGGAUGGGCCGCCACAUGGGGAUGUGGUGAUUUGACUUGUUCUCGCCGAUACUAGGAGCUGAGUUCUCGCCUUCGGAACCAAGACUGAGCGUACAACCACACGGGGCCCAUGGGAACCCUGAUACGUCUUCAACGUAUCUAUAAUUUCUUAUGUUUCAUGCUACUUUUAUGAUGAUACACACAUGUUUUAUACACACUUUAUGUCAUAUUUAUGCAUUUUCCGGCACUAACCUAUUGACAAGAUGCCGAAGAGCCGAUUCUUGUUUCUACUUGUUUUGGUUUCAGAAAUCCUACAAAGAAAAUAUUCUCGGAAUUGGACGAAAUCAAUGCCCAGGGUCUUAUUUUUCCACGAAGCUUCCAGAAGACCGGAUGAGAUACGAAGUGGGGCCACGAGGUGGCGCCACACUAAGGCGGUGCGACCAGGCCAGGGCCCGUGCCGCCCUGUUGUGUGGGCCCCUCGUGACGCCCCCUGACCUACCCUUCCGCAAUCUAUCAUAUAUGUGUUGUUUAUGAUCUUGCAUGCUCUCCGUUGCUAGUAGAGGUUCUGGCCAAGUUGAUACUUGUAACUCCAAGAGGGAGUAUUUAUGCUCGAUAGUGGGUUCAUGCCUCCAUUUAAUCUGGGACAAUGACAGAAAGUUCUAAGGUUGUGGAUGUAUUGUUGCCACUAGGGAUAAAACAUCAAUGCUUUAUCUAAGGAUAUUUGUGUUGAUUACAUUACGCACCAUACUUAAUGCAAUUGUCUGUUGUUUGCAACUUAA